GAUGAACGCUGGCGGCGUGCCUAAUACAUGCAAGUCGAGCGAAUGGAUUAAGAGCUUGCUCUUAUGAAGUUAGCGGCGGACGGGUGAGUAACACGUGGGUAACCUACCCAUAAGACUGGGAUAACUCCGGGAAACCGGGGCUAAUACCGGAUAACAUUUUGAACCGCAUGGCUCGAAAUUGAAAGGCGGCUUCGGCUGUCACUUAUGGAUGGACCCGCGUCGCAUUAGCUAGUUGGUGAGGUAACGGCGCACCAAGGCAACGAUGCGUAGCCGACCUGAGAGGGUGAUCGGCCACACUGGGACUGAGACACGGCCCAGACUCCUACGGGAGGCAGCAGUAGGGAAUCUUCCGCAAUGGACGAAAGUCUGACGGAGCAACGCCGCGUGAGUGAUGAAGGCUUUCGGGUCGUAAAACUCUGUUGUUAGGGAAGAACAAGUGCUAGUUGAAUAAGCUGGCACCUUGACGGUACCUAACCAGAAAGCCACGGCUAACUACGUGCCAGCAGCCGCGGUAA
rnacentral:rRNA from 1 species